rnacentral:rRNA from 1 species
UACGUAGGGGGCAAGCGUUGUCCGGAAUCAUUGGGCGUAAAGAGCGUGUAGGCGGUUCAGUAAGUCUGCUGUGAAAGUCCAGGGCUCAACCCUGGGAUGCCGGUGGAUACUGCUGGGCUAGAGUACGGAAGAGGCGAGUGGAAUUCCAGGUGUAGCGGUGAAAUGCGCAGAUAUCGGGAGGAACACCAAUUGCGAAGGCAGCUCGCUGGGACGUUACUGACGCUGAGACGCGAAAGCGUGGGGAGCAAACAGG